GAGUUUGAUCUUGGCUCAGGAUGAACGCCGGCGGUGUGCCUAAUACAUGCAAGUCGUACGCACUGGCCCAACUGAUUGAUGGUGCUUGCACCUGAUUGACGAUGGAUCACCAGUGAGUGGCGGACGGGUGAGUAACACGUAGGUAACCUGCCCCGGAGCGGGGAUAACAUUUGGAAACAGAUGCUAAUACCGCAUAACAACAAAGGCCACAUGGCUUUUGUUUGAAAGAUGGCUUUGGCCAUCACUCUGGGAUGGACCUGCGGUGCAUUAGCUAGUUGGUAAGGUAACGGCUUACCAAGGCGAUGAUGCAUAGCCGAGUUGAGAGACUGAUCGGCCACAAUGGAACUGAGACACGGUCCAUACUCCUACGGGAGGCAGCAGUAGGGAAUCUUCCACAAUGGGCGCAAGCCUGAUGGAGCAACGCCGCGUGAGGUGAAGAAGGGUUUCGGCUCGUAAAGCUCUGUUGUUGGAGAAGAACGUGCGUGAGAGU
rnacentral:rRNA from 1 species